CAAGCUCGCGUUCAGGCUCAAGCUCGAGUUCUGGCUCGAGCACCAGCUCGGGAUCCAGGUCGGGAUGCGGCUCUGACAAAAGUUCAAGAAAGAGGAAAUCUGAUGAUGAAGCAAUCAAUGGUAUAGGUGGUAAAAGGAUGACAAUCACAUCAUCUCAAGAGAGC